AGGAUGGGCCUCGGGCCGGCCCGGCCCUUGGGGAUGGCGGGGAAGGGCGCCCUGCGUCCGGCAGAGGAGGCGAGCAUCCCGCUCAGGUGAUGAGGAACUCCUCGCGUAACCAGUGCAGAAGGCUGCUGCCGCCGGACGCCUCCAUUGUUUGACCACAACAAGGGCCGGAUUCUCACCCAGGAUCCUAAGGCCUUUGUAGUCCUUCAGCCACUGUGGGCCCUGCCUCUGCCUGUUCUUCUGGAAUGUCUUGGGGGUUUUGAUCCUGUCACUGUGACCUGCAAAUCCAAGAGACACAUUUCUGGAAGAUAAGAGAGCUUCUUCAAGACCAAAAAAGGAGACGGCAUGAUACCCACGUAGGGAAUUCCCCAAAGCAAGGCUUGCCAAACCUGGACCCGAGGAGCCUGCUUGCUGGAAAGGCUUUCCUGUCUGAUGUGCAGGAGGCAGAAUGCCAAACUGACUCUUCAAGGGGCAACUGCAGGGGCUCGAGACCA
rnacentral:sRNA from 1 species